AAUGAACGCUGGCGGCGUGCCUAACACAUGCAAGUCGCGCGCGAAAGGGGGCAACCCUGAGUAGAGCGGCGGACGGGUGAGUAACACGUGGGUAAUCUGCCUAGGAGCGGGGGAUAACCUGGGGAAACUCGGGCUAAUACCGCAUACGAUCAUGGGGCCUCGGCCCUGUGCUGAAAGGUGGCCUCUGCUUGCAAGCUACCACUCCUAGAGGAGCCCGCGCCUGAUUAGCUAGUUGGUGGGGUAAUGGCCUACCAAGGCGACGAUCAGUAGCCGUCCUGAGAGGGCGAUCGGCCACACUGGAACUGAGACACGGUCCAGACUCCUACGGGAGGCAGCAGUGAGGAAUCUUGCGCAAUGGGGGAAACCCUGACGCAGCAACGCCGCGUGGAGGAUGAAGGUCUUCGGAUUGUAAACUCCUGUCAGAGGGGACGAAGGCUUGCGGGCUAAUCACCGUAAGCUUGACGGUACCCUCAGAGGAAGCCACGGCUAACUCUGUGCCAGCAGCCGCGGUAAUACAGAGGUGGCAAGCGUUAUUCGGAAUUAUUGGGCGUAAAGGGCGCGUAGGCGGCUUGAUAAGUCCCGGGUGAAAUCCCUCGGCUCAACCGAGGAACUGCCUUGGAAACUGUCUGGCUUGAGGCCGGGAGAGGGUAGUGGAAUUCCCAGUGUAGCGGUGAAAUGCGUAGAUACUGGGAGGAACACCGGUGGCGAAGGCGGCUACCUGGACCGGUUCUGACGCUGAUGCGCGAAAGCGUGGGUAGCAAACAGGAUUAGAUACCCUGGUAG
rnacentral:rRNA from 1 species